UAGAGUUGUAAAACUCCCAAAACCCAUGUGAACAUACCUCUGUUGCCUCGGUGGCCUACCCGGUAGCUACCCUGUAGUUACCCUGUAGUCCGCCGACGGACCACAAAACUCUGUUUUUUUUAAUAUCUCUGAGUCAACUAUAAAUAAGUUA
rnacentral:misc_RNA from 1 species